GAUGAAGAACGCAGCGAAAUGCGAUAAGUAAUGUGAAUUGCAGAAUUCCGUGAAUCAUCGAAUCUUUGAACGCACAUUGCGCCCCCUGGCAUUCCGGGGGGCAUGCCUGUCCGAGCGUCAUUUCUGCCCUCCAGCCCGGCUGGGUGUUGGGCGCUGUCCCCCCGGGGACACGCCCCAAAGGCAGUGGCGGCGCCGCGUCGGAUCCUCGAGCGUAUGGGGCUUUGUCACCCGCUCGGGACGGACUCGUCGGCGCUGGUCUUCCUCCAGGCGACCCUUCGGGGCUCGUCUUCCUUCGGUUGACCUCGGAUCAGGUAGGGUUACCCGCUGAACUUAAGCAUAUCAAUAAGCGGAGGA
rnacentral:misc_RNA from 1 species